UAAUCCGCGGAUCAGUCAUAUAAAAGCUGGCAGAACAUCAGAAAAGAACAAUUGGAUAUAAAAUAAAAAAAUGUCGAAAAUAAUUUUAUUAUUAUCACUUUUCGUAUUGAUUGGUCUCCAUGUUAAUGCAGCUGCAGGCUGUAAAGGCAAGUGGUGCCAUCCAUCACAAGGAUACAACUGUUGUGCAGGACAUUCAUGCAGUUCGUAUGCUUGGCAAGGUACAUGCCAACAUGAGGAUCAACGUGAAAUAGAUAGUAUGAAGAUGGCACCGGGGAAAUAAUCAUAACAUACAGUGAAGAUUAAU